rnacentral:misc_RNA from 1 species
UUUCCGUAGGUGAACCUGCGGAAGGAUCAUUAUUGGAUUUUGAAACUUCAGGCUGCUGCUGGCUCUCCUCGGAGGGCACGUGCACGCUUGUUGUCCAUUAUUUCUCCCACUGUGCACAAAUUGUAGACCUUUUAGUAGGCCUAUGUUGUUUUUCACAAUCUCUGAAUGUAAUAGAAUGGUUUUGAAUCUUGGGAAAUACAAUACAACUUUCAGCAACGGAUCUCUUGGCUCUC